rnacentral:tRNA from 1 species
AGCCUGGUGGUGUAAUGGUAGCACAGGAGUUUUUGGUACUCUUAGUUGGGGUUCGAGUCCCUGCCGGGCUGCCA